rnacentral:lncRNA from 1 species
ACUUAAUUAACCUCACCUUCAAGGUGAACAAUAAUAGAGUAGCAGCAGCCAAGUAGCAACAUAUUUCUGUGUUGCAAUUCCUUGCCUCCACUGUGAGCCAAACCCCAGCCACAUCUCCAGCACACAAGAACUUCCAAACGCCUGACGGCAGCUGCAAGGCGUUCCUCCAGAACCUCCUCCCACAAGAGCUUGCUACAAGUGCAAGAAAUCUGGCCACUGGGUCAAGGAAUGCCCACAGCCCAGGAUUCCUCCCAAGCUGUGUCCCAUCUGUGCCACUGAAAAUCGGACUGUUCAACUCACCUAGCAGCCACUCCCAGAGGCCCUGGAACUCUGGCCCAAGGCUCUCUGACUCCUUCCCAGAUCUUCUCGGCUUAGCAGCUGAAGACUGAGACUGCCCGAUUGCCUCGAAAGCCUACAGGACCAUCACAGACUCUCUGGGUAACUCACAGUGGAAGAUUCAGGUCUUGCACAGAAACUGAGCCUUGAUUUUCCGCAGAAUAUACUGUGACCAAGCCUCCUGCAGGGCUGCCUGUACGUUAAAGAAAUGGAAGCGUCUUGAAUCGUGUCCAUCGUCCCUCCUUUACACAAAGUAAUCACCUCCAGCUGGGCCAAGUUGAUUGAGGAAACGUUCAGUUUUCACAUGAUUUUGCUGUAGCACCAUAAUGAAUGUAUUUCUUUGAUGGAAGAAAGAAGCUUCAUGAAAUAAACUGCUUAAGGAUUUGAAGUUGGAGCUGAAAACAUGGGCUGCUUUGUUCUUAAUGACAACUGCUUUGCCAUCUAAAACAUUUCUCCUUUUUGAAGGAUCUGUCUUUUCUCUUCCAGCCACAACCCUCGAGCUACAAUAACAGGCUCAUGAUUUUUUUAGAUGCCAAGGUUAUGAAUACUCUUUUAUGAAUAUUUUCCUUUGAACUCAUUUCUCUUGAAGAAGAAAAAUAGCCCUACAUAUUGCAGGAUUGACAAUAACAGACAAAACGUACAAAUUGUUCUCUUAGGGGCAGUAAAAUGCUCCAAAAUGCACAUAGAAAAAUUCCAAAUGCAACCUGAUGUUUAUGGAGCACUGCCUUUGCAGCUAUAAUUUUUAGAAAGUAAUAUUUCUGACUGACAUGAAUUAUACAGAGCAUAUUUCAGAGACUAAUAUCAGGUUAAUGCCUUAAAAUGUCUCCGUUUAUGACAUCAUGGCUGCUUUUCCUAUAUCAGUGCAAACUCUUAGUGAGUAGAAUUUGAGGAUAUGUCUUUUCAAAGGAAGAAAACCUUCACUGAAUUAAGCUGCUUAUGGUUUUAUUUUUUCUUUUAUCCCAUUUCAACAUAUCCACCAACCUCCUCUAAAAAUAAUUCAACUAAUGUGAACUCAACAGAUUAUAGUAGAUCUCUUAUUAAUUUCAUUUUGCCUCCAAAGGAGCUUAUCAUUUAGGCUUAUAAUUAUGUAUGCAGUACUGUCGACUAAUGUUUAGGUUCCUCAUUAAAACUUCAUUUCAUUCUGUUUUAAUAUCAUCAGUCUGUUAGACCAUUUAUUUUCUCAUGUUAAAAAAUAUGUGUUUUCCCUGAACUCUUUCCAUAUGUUUUCUCUCAUCCAAAAAAUCCAGAAAAC